rfam:Callithrix jacchus chromosome 13, whole genome shotgun sequence
AAGACUAUACUUUCAGGGAUCAUUUCUAUAGUGUGUUACUAGAGAAGUUUCUCUGAAUGUGUAGAGAAAAAAAAAAAAAAAUCUCCCGGAUGGAGAGAGAUUGGAGCGGGG